rnacentral:rRNA from 1 species
GACGAACGCUGGCGGCGUGCCUAAUACAUGCAAGUCGAACGCUUUUUCUUUCACCGGAGCUUGCUCCACCGAAAGAAAAAGAGUGGCGAACGGGUGAGUAACACGUGGGUAACCUGCCCAUCAGAAGGGGAUAACACUUGGAAACAGGUGCUAAUACCGUAUAACACUAUUUUCCGCAUGGAAGAAAGUUGAAAGGCGCUUUUGCGUCACUGAUGGAUGGACCCGCGGUGCAUUAGCUAGUUGGUGAGGUAACGGCUCACCAAGGCAACGAUGCAUAGCCGACCUGAGAGGGUGAUCGGCCACACUGGGACUGAGACACGGCCCAGACUCCUACGGGAGGCAGCAGUAGGGAAUCUUCGGCAAUGGACGAAAAUCUGACCGAGCAACGCCGCGUGAGUGAAGAAGGUUUUCGGAUCGUAAAACUCUGUUGUUAGAGAAGAACAAGGAUGAGAGUAGAAACGUUCAU